UACGGGGGGGGCAAGCGUUGUUCGGAAUUACUGGGCGUAAAGGGCGCGUAGGCGGCCUUCUUAGUCGGACGUGAAAUCCCCAGGCUCAACUUGGGAACUGCGUCCGAUACUGGAUGGCUUGAGUGCGGGAGAGGGAUGUGGAAUUCCAGGUGUAGCGGUGAAAUGCGUAGAUAUCUGGAGGAACACCGGUGGCGAAGGCGGCAUCCUGGACCGACACUGACGCUGAGGCGCGAAAGCUAGGGGAGCAAACGGG
rnacentral:rRNA from 1 species